GGUCUAUUAGCUUAAUUGAUUAGAGCGUUGUGCUAAUAACGCAAAAGUCAUAUGUUUAAUUCUUGCUUGGACCA
rfam:Glycine soja cultivar W05 scaffold2574_10, whole genome shotgun sequence.